rnacentral:rRNA from 1 species
GAUUAAACUGAAGAGUUUGAUCCUGGCUCAGAUUGAACGCUGGCUGCAUGCUUAACACAUGCAAGUCGAACGAGAAAGUACCUUCGGGUGCGAGUAUAGUGGCGGACGGGUGAGUAAUGCAUAGGAAUCUGCCCAGUAGUGGGGGACAACUCGGGGAAACUCGAGCUAAUACCGCAUAUUUCCUUCGGGAGAAAGACUUCGGUCGCUAUUGGAUGAGCCUAUGUCAGAUUAGCUUGUUGGUAGGGUAAUGGCCUACCAAGGCUACGAUCUGUAGCUGGUCUGAGAGGAUGAUCAGCCACACUGGGACUGAGACACGGCCCAGACUCCUACGGGAGGCAGCAGUGGGGAAUAUUGGACAAUGG